rnacentral:lncRNA from 1 species
AAUGAAUUUCCUACAAACCGACUAACAAAACAUGUAUGUACUUUAGUUUAAAAAAAACAUGUACGUACCUCUUGAAUAUUUUGUGUCUACCAUUUUAUUAUUAGUUUGAUUAGUGAAAAUUUUAUUUUGAGAAAUACAUGGCAGAAACUAUUUAUAGAUUUUAAAAAUCUAUUUGAAUAGUCACAACUUUUCAAUUUGAAUAGUCACAACUUUUCAAUUUGAAUAAUCACAACUCUUCAAUUUGAAUAGUCACAUUCUUCCAAUUUAAAGGUAGUUAUUUUGAAAAGAUACUUAUAAAAAUAGUUACAACUUUUUACUUUUGAAAAGGUACUUAUAUGAAUAGUCACAACUUAUCAACUUAACCCAUUACACUAACAUAUACAUAUCUCAUAAAACAAAGAAUUAUACAAAAACAUUUUUGAGUAUUUACAUCAUAAGAAAAAAGCAAAACUAUUUAGAUAAUUUUUAGAAAAGACACAACCUUCCAACAUUAAACUUUUAGAAAAAAUAUAACCCCUUAAACAUUUUUUAGAAAAGACACAACCU